rnacentral:lncRNA from 1 species
CUGGGCAAAUGGAGCCUCGCACAAGCAAGAUCCACAACCUGUCAACGUCUUCUCAGGGAGCUGCAAAUCCACAUGCUGGAAGGUCCCCACGGCUCAGGACACGGCGCUCCAUGCCACCCAAGCACUCGGUAAUUAUGCAUGUUCCCACCUCAAGCAGCACUGUGCCCAAAGCGUUGCACAGAGAGAGAUUCCCAAAGGGCAGCUCGAGAAGCUCUCCAGGGCCUCCCAGGGACCUGCAAACCCAUCUGGUUGGGUCACAAACACGAGGCAGAAUGCUGCCGCCUCUGAAGGGCGCCUGUCAGAUUCAAGGGACCCCUAGGCGUGGACACAGGGAGCUGCGCAACUCCAACCUGUUCUCCAGCAAAGUCUCUCCUUCGCAGGCACAAGAAAGGAUUGCAGAGUCAUGGAGACCAGGAGCUCCACUACAACCAGGCUAUCUCCAACCUCCCGUGCUCUUCCUGUCAGCUCCACCUUCCACACCGUCAUGGGCAACGGGUCAGCUCUGCACCACGUGGCACCUCUCACGGUCUGCAGAGGGACCUACAACUUCCCCAGAGCUGCGCACACCCAGAGCUCGGCACCACACACCUGCGCUCGAAGCUCUCAUGCCCUCCAACACCAUGGCGACGUGCCAAGAGACAUGGAGAAAGGCAGCUCAGAAAUACACCACAUCUUUCUAACCUCUCGUGCCACUUAAGGUACACACAACUUCCCCGUAAGCUUGCAGAAAGGCAGCCCCGCACCUCUUGCCUCCUCUCUAACCCAUCUUGCCCUACCUUGCAGAUGGAA